rnacentral:lncRNA from 1 species
CUCAUUCUCUUGCCACCGCUAUGUAAGAAGUACCUUUCACCUCCUGCCACAAUUCUAAGGCCUCCCCAGCCAUGUGGAACUGCUCAAAGGCAGAAGACUUGCCUUGUCUCAGAUGAGACUUUGGACUGUGGACCUUUGGGUUAAUGCUGAAAUGAGUUAAGACUUUGGGGGACUAUUGGGAUGGCGUAAUUGGUUUUGAAAUGCGAUGACAUGAGAUUUGGAGGGGCAAGGGUGGAAUGAUAUGGUUUGGCUGUGUCCCAACCAAAUCUCAACUUGAAUUGUAUCUCCCAGAAUUACCAUGUGUUGUGGGAGGGACCCAGGGAGAGGUAAUUGAAUCAUGGGGGCCCAUCUUUCCUCUGCUAUUCUCAUGAUAGUGAAUAAGUCUCACGAGAUCUGAUGGAUUUAUUAGCGGUUUCUGCUUUUGCUUCUUCCUCAUUUUCUCUUGCUGCCACCAUGUAAGAAGUACCUUUCACCUCCCGCCAUGAUUCUGAGGCCUCCCCAGCCAUGUGGAACUGUAAGUCCAAUGAAACCUCUUUUUCUUCCCAGUCACAGGUAUAUCUUUAUCAGCAGUGUGAAAAUGGACUAAUACAUAGUGUUAUACAAAUAUCAAUUAUAUCAAGAUAGUUGAUUGUGUUGUUAAGCUUUUCUGUAUUCUUAAUCAUGGGCGUGGGGAGGGGCUACAGUUGUUGGGAGGCCUUAAAUCUCUAAUUAUAAUUCUGAAUGAUCUAUUUCUGUUUAGUUCUGACAAUUCUUACACAAUGUAUUUUGAAUCUCUGAUUUAGAUACAUACACUUAUAAUUUUAUUAUUAUGAAACAUUACCCAUUUUCUCUGGCAACAUUGCUUGUCUUGAAGCCUACUUUGGUCUGAUGUUAAUAUAGUAAUUCCAUCUUUUAUA